UAGGGAAUCUUCGGCAAUGGACGAAAGUCUGACCGAGCAACGCCGCGUGAGUGAAGAAGGUUUUCGGAUCGUAAAACUCUGUUGUUAGAGAAGAACAAGGACGUUAGUAACUGAACGUCCCCUGACGGUAUCUAACCAGAAAGCCACGGCUAACUACGUGCCAGCAGCCGCGGUAAUACGUAGGUGGCAAGCGUUGUCCGGAUUUAUUGGGCGUAAAGCGAGCGCAGGCGGUUUCUUAAGUCUGAUGUGAAAGCCCCCGGCUCAACCGGGGAUGGUCAAUGGAAGCUGGGAGACUUUAGUGCAGAAGAGGAGAGUGGAAUUCCAUGUGUAGCGGUGAAAUGCGUAGAUAUAAGGAGGAACACCAGUGGCGAAGGCGGCUCUCUGGUCUGUAACUGACGCUGAGGCUCGAAAGCGUGGGGAGCAAACAGG
rnacentral:rRNA from 1 species